CUACUCCAGGUUGCUUUUGACCAAAGCCGUAAUUUAAAAACAAACAACAAUAAGAAAAAAGAGUCAGUAAACAGGGCUGCUGGAUUUUUUUUUUUUUGCUUUCACUUCAAGCUCCUUAUGUCAGAAGCCAGCACAGGAAGGGUUAACCAUUAAUCUUCAGUUACAUAAAACGUGCAUUGUAGAUAUCUUCACUUAAUGGUGUCUAUGGAGACAAACUUCCCAAGACAGCGUUUUUUUCUUCUUUUAGAUAAAGGAAUGCAGCUUUAAUGGAAUUUCAAGUGCUUUCGUGUUUUACUUGCAACAUCUGAUGCUAUGAAAAGCCCAGGAACAAAGGACUGCCUCGCCUGGAAUACUGCCCCGGGAUCACUGAGAGGAAGAGGCAAGCCUUCCCACUGAUGCCACAGAGGAAAAUGGAGUUAAAGUGUGCAACAUGUCAGGCCAGAGUCAGAGAUCUAAAUAACCGCUCACCUGUUCAUUUCCUGUAUUAACCACAGUAAACAAACUAUAGAUUGAC